rnacentral:sRNA from 1 species
GGUCGUUGCAAGUUCCCGAUAGGCUCUGAAAAAGCUCAGAGAUUCCUUGUAACCGAAUAAAAAUUAGGGGGAAUAUUUAUAAUG